GACGAACGCUGGCGGCGUGCCUAACACAUGCAAGUCGAGCGGAGAUAUUAGCAAUAGUAUCUUAGCGGCGGACGGGUGAGUAACGCGUGGGCAACCUACCUAUGACUGGGGGAUAACACAGGGAAACUUGUGCUAAUACCGCAUAACAUCAUGAUAAGACAUCUUAUUAUGAUCAAAGGAGUAAUCCGGUGAUAGAUGGGGCCCGCGUCCGAUUAGCUAGUUGGUGAUGUAACGGACCACCAAGGCGACGAUCGGUAGCCGAACUGAGAGGUUGAUCGGCCACAUUGGGACUGAGACACGGCCCAGACUCCUACGGGAGGAAG
rnacentral:rRNA from 1 species